UAUUUUAUUUUGAUGUGGUGCUAAGGAUCCAGCCCAGGGCCUCACACGUGCUAGGCGAGCGCUCACCACUGAGCCACAGCCCAGCCCCAAACCACCAUCUUUGAAGAAGAAAGGGGGCCUCUCCACACACCCCAUCUGCUGGCAGCUUGUCGUAGACUUGAGCCUCCAGAGCUGUGAACAGUGAAUUGCUGAUAUUUACUACCCAGCAGAAGGGGUUCUGUAGCAGCACCGUGGACUGGAACAGCGCCAUGGAUAAAGCAGGCCACCGCUGUGACUCCAUCUCUGUGAAGUGUCACAGGACAGGCAGAUCCACAGAGGAGGGGUUGGGAGAGCAGUGGCCUUUCCAAGGGUUCAGCAAAACCCGUGGGCUGGUGAGAGCCACUCUCUUGACCCCUGAGGGGUUUCCAUGGUGGACGCACGAGCUCAGCUGGUUGUGUUGUGUGCCGAGGCUCCACGUCCUCCGUGGUACAGGCGAAGCCUCAUUCAAAAGCUAGAAAAAUAAGGCCGAAGAGCCCGGACGCAGGAGCCAGGCUGUUCUAGGGUCCCCAGGCUGUGGGAGAAAAGGAGUGGCUCCUGAGACCCGGAGGAGGGUGGCGGAGGGAGAAGGCGGGCGCCCACCAGGCCUCCGUUGCCUCUGACAACCGUCCUGGGGGCUGCACGUGUGCAGAUGUCCGAGAGGGCUGGAGGCAGGACCAGGACUCCUGCCCUUGCUCAGCAGGGAGUCCUUUCCAGGCCGUUCAGCC
rnacentral:lncRNA from 1 species